rnacentral:rRNA from 1 species
AUUGAACGCUGGCGGCAGGCCUAACACAUGCAAGUCGAGCGAGCGGCGGACGGGUGAAUAAUGUAUGGGGACUGCCCGAUAGAGGGGGAUAACAAAUGGAAACGGUGGCUAAUACAGCAUACUAGCGGAUAACCCAUAUGGGAUUAGCUAGUAGGUGGGGUAAAGGCUCACCUAGGCGACGAUCCCUAGCUGGUCUGAGAGGAUGAUCAUCCACCCUGGGUCUGAGACACGGCCCAGCCUCCUACGGAGGCAGCAGUGGGGAAUAUUGCACCAUGGGCGCAAGCCUUAUGCAGCCAUGCCGCGUGUAUGAAGAAGGCCUUAGGGUUGUAAAGUACUUUCAGCGGGGAGGCGUUACCCGCAGAAGAAGCACCGGCUAACUCCGUGUCAGCAGCCGCGGUAAUUC